AUUGAACGCUGGCGGCAGGCUUAACACAUGCAAGUCGAACGAGUGGCGGACGGGUGAGUAAUGCUUGGGAAUCUGGCUGAUGGAGGGGGAUAACUACGGGAAACUGUAGCUAAUACCGCGUACCAUCGGAUGUGCCCAGAUGGGAUUAGCUAGUUGGUGGGGUAACGGCUCACCAAGCCGACGAUCCCUAGCUGGUCUGAGAGGAUGACCAGCCACACUGGGACUGAGACACGGCCCAGACUCCUACGGGAGGCAGCAGUGGGGAAUAUUGCGCAAUGGGGGCAAGCCUGACGCAGCCAUGCCGCGUGAAUGAAGAAGGCCUUCGGGUUGUAAAGUUCUUUCGGUAGCGAGGCGUUAACCACAGAAGAAGCACCGGCUAACUCCGUGCCAGCAGCCGCGGUAAUAC
rnacentral:rRNA from 1 species